UACAGAGGUGGCAAGCGUUGUUCGGAAUUACUGGGCGUAAAGGGCGCGUAGGCGGUCCGAUAAGUCCUGUGUGAAAUCCCUCGGCUCAACUGAGGAACUGCACGGGAGACUGCCGGGCUUGAGUUCGGGAGAGGGAAGCGGAAUUCCGGGUGUAGCGGUGAAAUGCGUAGACAUCAGGAAGAACACCCGUGGCGAAGGCGGCUCUCUGGGACGGUACUGACGCUGAGACGCGAAAGCGUGGGGAGCGAACAGG
rnacentral:rRNA from 1 species